CUAGUAUAGCAUCUAUACUGUGAAACUGCGAAUGGCUCAUUAAAUCAGUUAUCGUUUAUUUGAUAGUACCUUACUACUUGGAUAACCGUGGUAAUUCUAGAGCUAAUACAUGCUAAAAACCCCGACUUUUGGAGGGGUGUAUUUAUUAGAUAAAAAACCAAUGCCCUUCGGGGCUCCUUGGUGAUUCAUAAUAACUUAACGAAUCGCAUGGCCUUGUGCCGGCGAUGGUUCAUUCAAAUUUCUGCCCUAUCAACUUUCGAUGGUUAGGUCUUGGCUAACCAUGGUUUCAACGGGUAACGGGGAAUUAGGGUUCUAUUCCGGAGAGUGAGCCUGAGAAACGGCUAACACAUCCAAGGAAGGCAGCAGGCGCGCAAAUUACCCAAUCCCGAUACGGGGAGGUAGUGACAAUAAAUACUGAUCCAGGGCUCUUUUGGGUCUUGGAAUUGGAAUGAGUACAAUUUAAAUCCCUUAACGAGGAACAAUUGGAGGGCAAGUCUGGUGCCAGCAGCCGCGGUAAUUCCAGCUCCAAUAGCGUAUAUUAAAGUUGUUGCAGUUAAAAAGCUCGUAGUUGAACCUUGGGCCUGGUUGGCCGGUCCGCCUCACCGCGUGUACUGGUCCGACCGGGUCUUUCCUUCUGGGGAGCCGCAUGCCCUUCACUGGGUGUGUCGGGGAACCAGGACUUUUACUUUGAAAAAAUUAGAGUGUUCAAAGCAGGCCUAUGCUCGAAUACAUUAGCAUGGAAUAAUAGAAUAGGACGUGUGGUUCUAUUUUGUUGGUUUCUAGGACCGCCGUAAUGAUUAAUAGGGAUAGUCGGGGGCAUCAGUAUUCAAUUGUCAGAGGUGAAAUUCUUGGAUUUAUUGAAGACUAACUACUGCGAAAGCAUUUGCCAAGGAUGUUUUCAUUAAUCAGUGAACGAAAGUUAGGGGAUCGAAGACGAUCAGAUACCGUCGUAGUCUUAACCAUAAACUAUGCCGACUAGGGAUCGGGCGAUGU
rnacentral:rRNA from 1 species